rnacentral:snoRNA from 1 species
AUGAUGGCAUUCAAAGGACAACAUGUCUACCUAAUACAAUAUUCUUAAAGUUAAGAUUUCAUUUCCUGCUUGUGGCAUUGUUAGGAAGUUCUACAAGUCUCAAAUGAGAAAACAUCCAU